rnacentral:lncRNA from 1 species
CUAAUGGAAAGCUGAAUACCAAAAUUUAUGAUAAAAGGGAUGAUUUUUCAUUUCCUAUCGUUAAUUAUCCGUUUUUAGAUGGUGACGUUCCCUUGUCACCAUCUUACGGUGUUUAUAUAUCUCAACUUGUACGAUUCGCUCGUGUAUGUAACAAUUUUUUAGAUUUUAACGAGAGAAAUCUAUGUAUUACUGAAAAAUUAUUACACCAGGGUUUUCGAUAUCACAAACUAGUCAAAACAUUUACUAAAUUUUAUCAUCGGUAUAAAGACAUCAUUCGUAAAUAUAGCUCAAAAUGCAGACUUCUAAUACGUACAGGUAUUUCACAUCCAAUUUUUUAUGAAAAUAUUCUUUAUAAAGCACAA